CACACACACACACACGUACUACACACAGCCAAUCCUGUGGAACCGUUGUGCAAUAUAACCCCGCAUAUUUUGAAUGGCUAGCUAUGUGUACUGUGUACGUGUCAAAGGAUCGCUGUACAAAGCUUGCAUUGGGAAUAGUGCACGCACAAGCUACACUAUAUAGCUACUGUGUGCAUUAUAAAUUCACAAUGUAGCUUUGCCUAGACAGGAGCUAGACUGAAUCUUGGUGUUUUCUCUGCAAAAUAAUGCUGAAUACUGAGUUUUCCUGCUAAUCUACAACAGUAUGGAUAUAGACGCAACAUGACAAAUGAGUAGUUUCCAUAUCGACCUCGUUCUUUAUCAUCAUCUUCACCAAUAUACAUCAACGCCACCAUCACCAUGUCUUUGACGUCGACCUCCGUUUUCGCGUUUGAACUUUGAAGAUUGUUGCGAACUCUAAUAAUGAAUUGGAUAUUGGCAUUAUCGACGUUUUUUCUGUCUUUGAACACUAGUCUCAUCGAACUUUGAUUAAAGGUAAGAACCUCCUUUUUACCUUCUUCGAUUUGCGUUUCGUCGUUUGCAGGUCUGAUCCUGACUCCGAUUAAUGAUGACCUAACCUAUCGUUCUGUCUUCAAUCACCCUCGACGUCAAACUCUAUACCGCGUUUCACCAUCGCCGAACACGGACUCCACAUCCAAUCGACAUCGCCGACUCUUGACUGUCGUUCAUCAUUCAUUAUGGAACUGUUUCUUCAAAUUUCGUCUUUCGACUGAAUUCGUGUACGACAUCGUCAACGAAUCUCGCACCUCCGCUGGAAGGACAGUUUUUUUAUAAUGUACUAUGUAAUUUGAAUAUGAGCGGCAGUCUUCCGCUAUAGAAAUAGACUUACCACUUUAAAAUAUUGUUGUGUGCUGAAAAUGUUUAGUGUCCUGUAUAAUGAUGUUACAAGCGGCAGUCUUCGCUAUAGAAAUAGACUUCAGUUUUCGACUGUAAAUUGUUUUAUAUAUUUUACGCGAGCUAGAUUUUAGCUCGUUUGAAUAAAUGUUUUUUUAAAGUAAA